AAAUAGAGGUCAGGACUCCUGGCUCCCCGUCCAGACUCUGAGGACCCAGCAGCCUCCACAGGUACACUCAGAGGCCACACUAGAUGCAAAAAGAACCAUGUACAGAGAAGUGAGAAGGUCUCAAAGACUGAACCAAAUAACUCUGCCAGGAGAAUCUUUCAGAAUGUUCUGGAACAUUGGAAAUAGCCCUAAAGCUUAAAUGGUGAAUCAAAAGAGUUAUGCUCUAUUCUAGUGCUGCCACUAGGGUCUAACAAAAGGAAUGGAGAGUAAUCACAUCAUUCUAAAAUCCUUCCUUUGCAGUCCUGCAGUCACAGCUCCAAAGACUCUGGGUUUUGGAGUGAGAGCUAUAACUGCUCUGGAAGAAUUCGUGACCAAAAGCACAUCUUUCUGGGGAGGCAGAAUAUCACAGGCCUGUGACACCCGAGUGCUGUAACAGGCACUAGAGGUUGGAGUAGAUUCCAACAUCUCAUAAACCAGAAAGCAGCCUCAGGAAGGUUGGCAACUGCCAAACCCAUAGGCUAAACAGUGGUGGGGCUGGGAUU